AAUGAACGCUGGCGGCAUGCUUUACACAUGCAAGUCGAACGGUAACAGGGUGCUUGCACCGCUGACGAGUGGCGAACGGGUGAGUAAUGCGUCGGAACGUGCCGAGUAGUGGGGGAUAACGCAGCGAAAGUUGUGCUAAUACCGCAUACGUACUGAGGUAGAAAGUGGGGGACCUUCGGGCCUCACGCUAUUCGAGCGGCCGACGUCUGAUUAGCUAGUAGGUGAGGUAAAGGCUCACCUAGGCGACGAUCAGUAGCGGGUCUGAGAGGAUGAUCCGCCACACUGGGACUGAGACACGGCCCAGACUCCUACGGGAGGCAGCAGUGGGGAAUUUUGGACAAUGGGCGAAAGCCUGAUCCAGCCAUGCCGCGUGUCUGAAGAAGGCCUUCGGGUUGUAAAGGACUUUUGUCAGGGAGGAAAUCCCUAGUGCUAAUAACACUGGGGGAUGACGGUACCUGAAGAAUAAGCACCGGCUAACUACGUGCCAGCCGCCGCGGUAA
rnacentral:rRNA from 1 species